CUUGUUCCCUGGUGGAGGUUUCAAAACAAUUCUUCCCAAGAGGGUGCAUCUCAUGUUCCUUUGAGAGUGAUGAUUCAAGGGAACACUAUAAAGCUGUGAAAAACCGAGUCUAUAUCAAAUUCGGAGAGCUGAAGAUGAAGAGAUGAUUGGUUAGGGGCCGCAGGCAAAAUGGAACAGAAUCUUAGGGAAACAAGAGAGGAUACAAGUGGAGAAGAAACUAAAGCAGCUAGGAACCUUGGUACUUCAUGAGAUUGUGCAGACCAGGGCCAGGUUCUGGAACAUGGAUGAUCUAGAUUCUGCUUCCAACUGGACCAGCUGCUCCUGGGACCUAUGAAGAACUGGUAUCUAGAAGAGGAGAUUAUAAUCCAUUAGCCCUGGGGCUUUGGAAGGAGCGAGAAGUCACCACCUGAGACCGGUCAAUCUGCAUGUGUCUUCCUCACCACUGGGGCACAGCCCUGCUCUCACACCCGAGGAGCACUUGCUCAAGAGGCCUGAGCUCCGGCCUUGUCCAUCCCAAGGCAAUGGGAGUGGGCACCAAGGCCAGGAGAUGAAGACUCUAAGAAGCAACAGCUCCCCUCCAGUUUUAUGCUGCUGCAGGAGCCCGGAUACCCUCUGCCCUGGGUUGGGACCAUUCCAGAUGCUCUACCUAGAUCUCUUGGAGGCGGCAGCCCAUCAAGCACGGUGUGAGUGGAGCGGAAGAGGGGCAGCGCUCAGGGGGAGUGGAAGGAGCUCGGAGCCCAAGUCAGCGCUGGGCUCGUGUCCUCUUUCCGUCUCUGACUUGCCGUGCAGCCCUAGACAAGUCACUUCACUUCUCUGAGCUUCAGUGUCCUCUUCUGAAAGGUGAAGUUAACAAGAACACUGACCUCACCGGGGCAAAUGAAAAACUGGAUGUGAAAGGGUUUUGUAAACUGUAACGUGAGGUGAUUUCAUUGAUCAUCUGAAGGCGGGGAAUUACCUGAAGGCAGGGAAAGGAGUCCUAGGCCAGGUGAAAAUUCACUUUGCCAACCUCAACAUUGUACUAAGUGUUGGCCCUGCAAAAAAAGCCUGAUACAACUGGACAUUCUCUUAUUAUAGAAAAUGACAAAUUUGUGUUUGAUGCCAGAGUUGUCACAUUCCUUCAGGAGUGCAGACUUUUAUGGGCCCCUGACAGCUCUGCCCGGACUAUUUCUGAGGACAGGGACAUUGUGCCUUAUUGGCAAGGCUUAUUAAACCAGGGCCACUUGUGGUCAUUGAAGAAUCUAGGUCUGCCUUUGCAAUGGUGGGAAAGAGUUGUCAGAUCCUGUCCUCUGAUGUUUGUGGAUUUGAUUACAUGGCUCUGCUAAGCUUGGUGCCUUUUGCUUCCUUGUUUGGUGAGGGUCUUUUUCUAGUCUAGUUAGGGGGACUGAGAAGUGGGAGAAGAGAAUGGAGCAGGUCCGAAUCAAAGACAAGCAGCAGAGGUAGAAAUGAGUAAGAAUAAUAUGUUCUCUCUGGGAAUUUGUACAAGGACAAGGCUAAUGAGACUUUGUUUUCAAUUACUUAAAAUAUAGUCUGUCAUUGAAAAGAUGAUGUAAUGGCUUUAAAACAGAAAACAAGCCAGAGUCUUACAGCACAUUCAACUACUUGUAUUUUUGCACAUUCUUGCCUAUUUCUGUUGUCAUCAUCAUGCAUGCAUAAUGCACAUUUCAUUUUAUGGCCUGAUUUUUUUCACUUAACAUUAGAUAAUAAGCAUUUUCCUUUUAAAGUCUGCAUUUUAGUGAAUAGACAAUCUAAUUUUGGAUACUGUAUGAUAA